rnacentral:rRNA from 1 species
UAGCCGUAAACGAUACUCGCUAGGUGUCGGCCACGGUGCGACCGUUGUCGGUGCCGUAGGGAAGCCGUGAAGCGAGCCACCUGGGAAGUACGGCCGCAAGGCUGAAACUUAAAGGAAUUGGCGGGGGGAGGCACCACAACGGGUGGAGCUUGCGGUUUAAUUGGAUUCAACGCCGGAAAUCUUACCGGGACCGACAGCAACAUGAAGGCCAAGCUGAAGACUUUGCCGGAUUAGCUGAGAGGUGGUGCAUGGCGUAGUCGUGU